UCAGAGAGUCCUCUCUCUCGGCAUGGACACAAAAGAAAAGCCAUGUGAGGACACAGAGAGAAGGUGGCUGUCUACGAGCUAGGAAGAAAGGCCUCACCGGAAACCAACCCUCACAGCAGCUCCAUCUUGGACUUCCAGCCUCCGGAACUGUGAGAAAAUAAAUGUUUGCAAUUCAGGUCGGUUGUAUUUUGUGAAGGCCAUCCUAGCAAAUGAAUACUCCUAACAUUGUCUCUUUAAGAGCUCACCAGCCUGAGGUAGGAAUCAUUCCAUCUGUGUUACUAAUGAGACCGCUGAGGAUCAAAGGGGUUUUCCACCACAUCCACUCACCUCUACAUGGCGAAAACCAAGGGUUCACUCUCUGUCUUCAGGGAGCUCCACCCAGCAGCAGCGUUUGACAGAGCUGUUCACUUCCUCUUCCUGGAGCUGUGGCUUCCAGAGCCCAUGCUCAGCAGUUCCCCUCCUUCUUCGACUGCUCCUCUCUUAGGCUCAAAACCUGUAACAAUGCAUGGCACACGGAAGAUGUGAGAAUUUGCUGAAUAACUGAAUGGCACCAUGUUGCCUCACCUAAGGAUAAUGACUAAGAAUAGGAAAAAUUUACUGUGCAAAGAUCAGUUCUUAAUAGCUGUCUACAUCUCAGAACAAAAAAAAUUAGAUGUAAACCAUUGCACAAAGGAUUAGAUGAAAUUUUUUUGAAAAAUCAGACAUUGGAGGCUCAGAGCCACUCAGACAUUGGGAAGCAAGUUUGUCAAGAUGACAGAGAACCGAGGUAAUGGAUUCGAGUGAUGAAACAGGAAGUUCAUUCAUGAGUUUUUGGCCACACCUCCAAAGUGACGACUUAGCCAGAAAUGGGAUAACUGGGUUUCCCUACUUCUCUUUUAUCAUCCUCAAUGAGAGUGACCAAAUAUUAGAGCUAGAUGGAACCUUAGUGAAAAUCUGGCUACUCGUCCCGUCCCACCAGCCUGCCACCCAUUUCAAGUUUGAAGAGACAAAGACACAUGGACCUUAUGUAAUUACUGGGGAUUACCCCAGGAGUCUGUGGCAAAAGUCAGCUUCUUCCCUCCCUGCUUCCCCGCCCUGUCUCUGGUACUUUCUACCAACACUGGGCUGUUUCUGUGAUCACACUUAAGCGUACCUAACCUGCGAAUGCUGUAUAGAAGGUGCUAAUGAACAUGAUUUAGCUUUAACACUCAGUUUUCUAAAGGGACACGUGGGGGCAGCAAAUGUUUAG
rnacentral:lncRNA from 10 species